GCUCCGUAGGUGAACCUGCGGAGGGAUCAUUACAGAGUUCAUGCCCUACCGGGUAGAUCUCCCACCCUAUGUUAUUAUUACUUUGUUGCUUUGGCGGGCCGUUAGGCUCCGGCCCGACUACCGGCCCCGGCUGGUAAGCGCCCGCCAGAGGACCCAAAACCCUGAAUAUUAGUGUCGUCUGAGUACUAUAUAAUAGUUAAAACUUUCAACAACGGAUCUCUUGGUUCUGGCACCGAUGAAGAACGCAGC
rnacentral:misc_RNA from 1 species